CUGGUACCAGUAAAAUACAGUUAACUCGCUUUGAUGUGAACUAUUAAGAAGACUUAAGGAUACAAUUUUAUUACUCAAAUAAAAUAGUCCGUGCCAAUAUUACUAGGCAAUAUAAUAUAAGUAUAAAUUAUCAGCUACGUCGUCUACGUCUCCGCUAUUUGACGUCGUUUUUGCAAAAGAUUCAGAUUUUUUGGAACGAGCGCAACAUUGACACGCCCAAAGCAUUAACCAAAAAGUGUUGGAGGCCUCGUCUAUCGCUCUGAUGUGAACACGAGCGAUUCGAUCUGACGAUUUGCAAACAUUAUUUCUUUAACUUUUCGAUGUUAUGAUUAUUAAAAGAGGUGGAU